GGGUGUUGAUGUGGGGAGGGUGUCUGCAGCCUGUUCACAGGCUCUGUUCUUGGCAGCUUCCUUGUCAGGAGCUAGAGAGAGGCAGGAGACAGAGCUGACUGGGCAGAGCACCAGCUUUGUGUGGCUGAGGAGCCUGGUUCUCUGGCCUGACAGUGGUGGGGGAAAAAUAAAAACCUCUCAUGCCUGAGGCUCUGAAGUCCCAGGCUCAAUGCUUGCAUCACCAAAACCAGAGCUGGUCAGUGAUCCAAUUUAAAAGACAAAAAUUAUGAGAAAGAAAAAAGAAGCAAAUAAGAAAAAGGAAGAGAAAAGAAAAAGAUAUAAGAAACAAAGAAAUAAUGAAAGGGAUAGAAAAUGGGGAGAAAGCACAGAUGCAGGAUCCCACCAAGUGGAGCUGGGAUGGGACUGGUAGAAUGAAGGACGAGGCUGGUGCUUGUCGCUGCGCCAGCAGUCGGGAGGUGCCUCCAAGCUGUAUAACUGUGUACAGGGCCUGGGUCGGCUGAGGUCACACACGCAAGAAUCCUUCAAGGGGCUUUAUCCCUUCCUAGCUGUGCACCCAGGAAGGCUCUGAGCUGGCCGCCUCCGGGGGACAGCAGGCUGCUCAGUGCACAGGCCUUGGAUGGUGAUGUCUGAGUUCUCCUGCCCUUUGUCUGAGCCAGAAAUGCUCUGAAUCUCUCUCUGUCUCUGUCUCUCUCCCCUAGUUGCUGUGUGAUAGGUAAUAGAUAACAUCGUGAAAAAGUUGCAUUCUAAAUUGAUGCCAUUUUGGAAAAAAAAAGAUCAGAGAUAGAGAUAGAAACCCAGUUGGCUUGGGGAUUGCUGAGUGCUAGGAAAAUGGGAAAUCCACCCACGGGAGCAGAGUUUUGCCCACUUCAAAGGGGGAUGAGAGUCAAGGUCUCCUGUGUCCGGGCAUCUGGUGAGUUUGCAUUUUCCAUCCAGUACAGGAAUUCACUUUUCUACAGGGGGAAACAGGUUGUGUAUUUCGCUGAGCUAAUAAAGAGGAGAUCACAGCAGUUAGGCCUGGGAAGGGCAGGGGAUCAAACUGGGGCUCUAGGUGUGAGAAGCCCUGUCCUGCACUGAGCCCUCUGGCAGGCUGCCCCAUUCUUGGCCUCAAUCAACAAUCAGUGGGCUCAUGUUGAAAGCAAGACUAUGGGGGCUGGGUUAAUAGCCUAAUGGGUAUGUCAAAGGCUUUCAUGUUUGAUGUUCCAAGGUUUCAGGUUCAAUCCCCAGCUCAGCUCUCCAGCUUGAGUCUGAGCUGAACAGUGUUCUGGUCUCACUCUGAUUUCUUUUCUUUCUUUCUUUUUUUUUUUGUACGGAGCAUUGCUCAGCCCCUGGGUGAUGCUGUUGGGGGAACCUCAGCUUCAGAGCCCUGCUCAGCCCUGCAUCGGUGAGCCAGGACCCAGAGAACUCCAGGUGACUUUUAUUUCAGAAGGAAAGAGAGACGGAGGGAAGAACUCGCAGCUCUGAAGCUUCCUCCUUCAGAGGCCGUGUCUUGCCGUCACCCAGCGGGCAUCUCACCUCCUCACAGGUCAGAAACUAGUUCUGUGCCCACUAUGCCCUGGAGUUCUGUUUGAUUUCCUUGUCUGAAAUAGUCUCUUGUUUUGUCAAGUCGGCAUUCAAAUCUUCAAUAAUCUUGACAGGUAGGAUGUAGGCGAGUAGGCAGAUAGGUAUGUGAUGCUUACAUACA